rnacentral:rRNA from 1 species
UACAUGGGGUGCAAACGUUGCUCGGAAUUAUUGGGCGUAAAGAGCUCGUAGGCGGUCUGUUGCGUCGGCUGUGAAAACCCGGGGCUCAACUCCGGGCCUGCAGCCGAUACGGGCAGACUAGAGUUCGGCAGGGGAGACUGGAAUUCCUGGUGUAGCGGUGAAAUGCGCAGAUAUCAGGAGGAACACCGGUGGCGAAGGCGGGUCUCUGGGCCGAUACUGACGCUGAGGAGCGAAAGCGUGGGGAGCGAACAGG